ACUGAACGCUAGCGGGAUGCUUUACACAUGCAAGUCGAACGAGUGGCGGACGGGUGAGUAAUUUAUCGGACCGUGCCCAGUAGCGGGGGAUAACUACUCGAAAUAGGGGCUAAUACCGCAUACUAUCGGAUCGGCCGUUUUCUGAUUAGCUAGUUGGUGGGGUAAAGGCUCACCAAGGCAACGCUCCGGAGCUGGUUUGAGAGGACGACCGGCAACACCGGGACGGAGGCACGGCCCAGACUCCGACGGGAGGCAGAAGUGGGGAAUUUUGGACAAUGGGGGAAACCCUGAGCCAGCCAUCCCGCGUGUAUGAGAAGGCCUUCGGGUUGGAAAGUACUUUUGGCAGAGAAGCGGUAUCUGCAGAAUAAGCACCGGCUAACUACGUGACAGCCGCCGCGGUAAUUC
rnacentral:rRNA from 1 species